CCAUGCCCUGCCACCACUGGGACCCUGCUUUAGGGGACCAAUGAGAGAGACAGCGUGUCAGGGCUACAAUUCAGCUAGGGACCAAGUACAAAGCAGGAAGUUAUUACAAGAACCAGCACGCGUAAAAAAGAAAAUCUUCCACAACGUUGAUUACGCAUUUUCAUCAUUAUAUUCUGGCAAACUGUCAAAGCAAAGUACGAAGCCUGCAAGGCAUUUCAGCCACAAGGAGCGACUCCAUUUUGUUGAGCAUGUACAAGUAACAAUGGUAAACUUCAACAAUCUUCAAGCAUUUCAAUCUGUUUCAGAUGUGUUGGCAGUAAAAUGUGAACCAGUG